GACGAACGCUGGCGGCGCGCUUAACACAUGCAAGUCGAGCGAGAACCGAGGCUUCGGCCUCGGGGACAGCGGCGAACGGGUGAGUAACACGUGGAUAACCUGCCCUCGGCACCGGGAUAGCCCGGGGAAACUCGGAUUAAUACCGGAUAGCCCUUCCGACUCUCGAGUCGGUCCGAAAAGGUAGCUUCGGCCUCUGGCCGAGGAUGGGUCCGCGGCGGAUUAGCUUGUUGGUGGGGUAACGGCCUACCAAGGCNCCGAUCCGUAGCUGGUCUGAGAGGACGAUCAGCCACACUGGGACUGAGACACGGCCCAGACUCCUACGGGAGGCAGCAGUGGGGAAUCUUGCGCAAUGGGCGAAAGCCUGACGCAGCGACGCCGCGUGAGGGAUGACGGCCU
rnacentral:rRNA from 1 species